rnacentral:rRNA from 1 species
GUCUACAGCCAAACCACCCCAAACGCGCCCAAUCUUGUCUGAUCUUGGAAGCUAAACAGGGACAGGCCUGGUUAGGACUUGGAUGGGAGAAACACCGGAGGCUGGAGGGC